UACGAAGGGGGCUAGCGUUGUUCGGAAUUACUGGGCGUAAAGCGCGCGCAGGCGGCUAUCCAAGUCAGUGGUGAAAGCCCGGAGCUCAACUCCGGAACUGCCAAUGAAACUGUUUAGCUUGAGGACGAGAGAGGUGAGUGGAAUUCCCAGUGUAGAGGUGAAAUUCGUAGAUAUUGGGAAGAACACCGGUGGCGAAGGCGGCUCACUGGCUCGUAUCUGACGCUCAGGCGCGACAGCGUGGGGAUCAAACAGG
rnacentral:rRNA from 1 species